CAGCAGUCACCCGGAGAUGGAACUGUUGUGACCAAAGCUGGGGAUGGGGCUCUCCCAGACAGACUCAGUCUGCGCCGGGGAACGAGGGCCUGGCCCAACAGCAGGCUGAGACACUCCAGUGUGGAGGCUGUAAGCCUCCAUUUCUCAUCUCAGGAACCACCCUGGAGGGAAAAGGAACACCAGCCCUUCCAGCAGGGGGAAGCCACUCAGCAAGCAAGCUCUAUGUGCAGAGGGCCCAAAGCGCGCAGAGAGAGGACAGCGCAAGACGGAGGGAGACAGUGGGCUUGCCCGCCCGCCCGUCCCUCUGCAGCCUAGAGAAGAUGUUUGCUUAACAUUGCAUUGGACCCAAAAAACUGUUUCGCACGUCUCACAUUUAAGAGAGAUGAUAAAAUGCAGCUUUCCCAAUGAUCUGCCUAUAAAUAAUCCAUAGAACUAAGAAAAAAAAUCAUGAAAGCUAUUAACGGAAUCGCUUAGUAUCAUAAGAGAAUCCAGUGUGUACCUCCACCCCACAGAGCAGGCUGUGGAUGGAGUGGGCCUAGGAUCCUGUGCAAGUAUCAAACCAUCCACGUGCUUCCUAGGGAAGCCCACCCCUGCCUGAGAGAUCUGUUGCCCGAUCACAGACCACAGGUGGCACGUGCUUCAGAGACAACCAAGUGUAGAGACUAGAUGCUAAAACCAGAGUCAUCGAAUUAGCUCAGCCUAGGGCCUCACCUUAAUUGUGGCCAACGGCACUAAAAAUACAUGCAACCGCAAGCUGUAACGUGGUACAAGAGAAUUUAAAAACCAACAGCACUGUUUCCAAAAAUACGCUGGCUUUUAAGACUGUACAUUCUGAAAUUUAUGAACUAACUUUAUAAGCCCAAUUUAAAAUAUCCAGUGGUGCCCGCCGCAGCCUCCUGGAAACGUGAAAGGUGCCACUCUCCCAGGGAGCUUCAGACCCUGGCUUUGGAGUGCAGCACAUUUGUAUGCCUAGAUAAGCAACCACACAUGCUCCGCAGCCGCCACCACCACCGCCACCACCCAUGGGCUCCAGAUGAAGAGAAACGUUUGCUCUAGAAUGAUUAAUACGUGGCACAAAAACCAUUUAUCAAAACCCUCACUAUUCAUAAAAAUAUAGCCAGGCAUGCGAUUUUUUUUAAUACCA
rnacentral:lncRNA from 1 species